CUGAGUACGGCGGAACACGUGAAAUUCCGUCGGAAUCCGGGAGGACCAUCUCCCAAGGCUAAAUACUCCCUAGUGACCGAUAGUGAACCAGUACCGUGAGGGAAAGGUGAAAAGCACCCCGGAAGGGGAGUGAAACAGUUCCUGAAACCGUGUGCCUACAAGUAGUUAGAGCCCGUUAAUGGGUGAUAGCGUGCCUUUUGUAGAAUGAACCGGCGAGUUACGAUUUGUUGCAAGGUUAAGCGGAAAAAGCGGAGCCGUAGCGAAAGCGAGUCUGAAUAGGGCGCAUAAGUAACAGGUCGUAGACCCGAAACCAGGUGAUCUACCCAUGUCCAGGAUGAAGGUAAGGUAAUACUUACUGGAGGUCCGAACCCACGCACGUUGAAAAGUGCGGGGAUGAGGUGUGGGUAGCGGAGAAAUUCCAAUCGAACUUGGAGAUAGCUGGUUCUCUCCGAAAUAGCUUUAGGGCUAGCCUCGAGGUAAAGAGUCAUGGAGGUAGAGCACUGUUUGGACUAGGGGCCCUUCUCGGGUUACCGAAUUCAGAUAAACUCCGAAUGCCAUGUAC
rnacentral:rRNA from 1 species